rnacentral:rRNA from 1 species
UGGGGAAUAUUGCACAAUGGGCGAAAGCCUGAUGCAGCAACGCCGCGUGAGUGAUGAAGGCCUUCGGGUUGUAAAGCUCUGUCUUUUGGGACGAUAAUGACGGUACCAAAGGAGGAAGCCACGGCUAACUACGUGCCAGCAGCCGCGGUAAUACGUAGGUGGCAAGCGUUGUCCGGAUUUACUGGGCGUAAAGGAUGCGUAGGCGGAUUUUUAAGUGAGAUGUGAAAACCCUAAGCUUAACUUGGGGACUGCAUUUCAUACUGGAAAUCUAGAGUGCGGGAGAGGAGAAUGGAAUUCCUAGUGUAGCGGUGAAAUGCGUAGAGAUUAGGAAGAACACCAGUGGCGAAGGCGAUUCUCUGGACCGUAACUGACGCUGAGGCAUGAAAAGCGUGGGGUAGCAAACAGGAUUAGAUACCCUGGUAGUCCACGCCGUAAACGAUGAGUACUAGGUGUAGGAGGUAUCGACCCCUUCUGUGCCGCAGUUAACACAAUAAGUACUCCGCCUGGGAAGUACGAUCGCAAGAUUAAAACUCAAAGGAAUUGACGGGGUCAUAGCUG